GUGAGGUUCGUUAGCCAUGGUAGGCAAUUCACCUAGGAGAGCAAACUCCGAACAAUAAACCCGGGCAGGUUGGGCUCGUGAGCCGUCAUAGGUAAUACACCUAGGAGAGCAAACUCCGAACAAUAAACCCGGGCAGGUUGGGCUCGUGAGCCGUCAUAGGUAAUACACCUAGGAGAGCAAACUCCGAACAAUAAACCCGGGCAGGUUGGGCUCGUGAGCCGUCAUAGGUAAUACACCUAGGAGAGCAAACUCCGAUCAUAAAACCCGGGCAGGUUGGGCUCGUGAGCCGUCAUAGGUAAUACACCUAGGAGAGCAAACUCCGAACAAUAAACCCGGGCAGGUGGAGCUCGUCAGCCGUGGUAGGCAGUCUGCCUAGGAGAGCAAACUCCGAACAAUAAACCCGGGCAGGUGGAGCUCGUCAGCCGUGGUAGGCAGUCUGCCUAGGAGAGCAAACUCCGAACAAUAAACCCGGGCAGGUGGAGCUCGUCAGCCGUGGUAGGCAGUCUGCCUAGGAGAGCAAACUCCGAACAAUAAACCGGGGCUUGUGGUGCUCGUUAGAUGUCGUAGACAAUCCACGUGAUGGGAACACCAAAGAAAAGGAAAAUAAAAAGGAACAUCUGAAAAAGGAAAAUAUAGUAACAAAACAUCAAGAAAAUAAAAUAAAAAAUACAGAUUAUCCACCUUCAGGCCCUAACAUCUCUAAAAUUAUGGGUGAGUCUUUUCUGGGGAGAAAGAGGCUCAUCCAGACCAAGGAACAUCAAAAAGGGAUGAUAUAGAAAGGAACACCAAAAAAAUGGGAAAAAGAGAACAAAACAUCGCAAAAGAAAAUUAACAGCAAUAACAGAACAACGUCAAGAAAAGUAACAUACAAAGAAACAUCAUCCACCAUUCGGCCCCAAACUAACAUCACCAAAAUUAUGGGUGGGUCUCUUCUGGGAGGAAAGCGGCUCACCCAGACCAACGAAGAACAUCAACAAGAGGAUGAUAUGAAAUAAAAGAACAUUAAAAA